rnacentral:lncRNA from 1 species
UUCUAAUGGUAGAUUGAAAGUCCAAAUGCACUUUUUCCAGGUGGCAUCUUUGGAUCUUCUGUGUCUCUUCUUUUAAGAACAAUGCAAAUGUACUUAUUGAUUAUCAAAAACGAGGAUUUUUUUAAGUAUUCAUAACACACAUUUAACACCUUGGUGUCCUGGGCCCCAGAGUUCCUUUGAAGGCCCAUACCAAUAUUUUCAGUGUAAAACUCAGUCUUUUCAGAAGAAAAUACAGUAUAUGAAUGUUUUACGAUAACAUUAAUUACCUGAUUUUCAAUACAGUUAUGACUGAAGAAUGAUAUUUCUAAGGGCACAUUUUGAAAACUCCAUAAAUCGUAUUGUAUUAACACCUUAAUAGAUACAAUAGUAAAACUUAAGAAUUUUUCUCUGUCAUAUGACCCUCUGUUCCUGCAGUUUUGGGGUUCAUUAAAAGCACAAAUAAAACAAUUUAAUCUCUUUGAAAUAAAGUAAUAAAAGUACCUUUUAGAAGUUUUCUUUUUCCCUUGUGUAUAAAACUUCUCUAUGUUUCUGUAAUGAACACAUAAAUUUCCAUACUUUUUCCCUUAACUGGUUAUUUUCUUAAAAGUCAGAAUUUAAUAUGGCGUAUUUCUUUUUUGCCCCUCCUGCCCCCCCCACCAACUGAUAUUAUCCAUUCCAUAGGCCACAGUUAUUUCUCUAGGCCUGCAUAGCGACAUUUUCAUACUACUUUAAAACUAAGUAGGUUGUGCACAGUAUCAAAAACCUUUCUAGGUAAACUCUGAGCGAGCUAUCUAAACUCCCUCCCAGCUUGGGAAGCACAUACUAAUGGAGAAGAAUUUCUGUUCUAAUUAGAAUUGCCAAGGGUUACCAGACCUCUCCAGAUCUGCGAUUGACCUGGUUGCAGAACAUGGCAGGCAAGCACUCAGAACGAAGCAAUCAUGCUGAAGCUGCACAGUGUCUAGUCCACUCAGCAGCACUUGUUGCUGAAUAUUUGAGCAUGCUGGAGGACCGGAAAUAUCUUCCUGUGGGAUGUGUAACAUUUCAGAAUAUUUCAUCUAAUGUUUUAGAAGAAUCUGCGGUCUCAGAUGAUGUGGUAUCUCCAGAUGAAGAAGGUAUCUGCUCUGGAAAAUACUUUACUGAGUCAGGACUUGUGGGAUUACUGGAACAAGCAGCUGCUUCCUUCUCUAUGGUAGAUGACUCUUGUUAAUUCUUUUCCCACAGUUUCAUACCUCUAAUUAUCAAUGACAUGUGUAUUUAUUCUCUCUGGCUUAUGACCCUACUUUUCUUUAAAGAUAAUUUAUUCUGGACCCAGUAUGGUGGCUCAUGCCUGUAAUCUCAGCACUUUGAGAGGCUAAGACGGGAGGAUUGCUUGAAUCCAGGAGUUCAAGACCAGCAUGGGGAACAUAGUGAGAUACCGUCUCUACAAAAAAUUAAAAAUUCACCAGGCAUGGUGGCUCAUGCCUGUGGUCCCAGCUACUUGAGAGGCUGAGGUGGGAGGAUUGCUUGAGCCCAAGAGGUUGAGGCUGCAGUGAGCCAUGAUUAUGCUGCUGCACUCCAGCCUGGACAACAGAGUAAAACCCUGUCUCC